rnacentral:rRNA from 1 species
AUUGAACGCUGGCGGUAUGCUUAACACAUGCAAGUCGAACGCGAACGGUACUUCGGUACUUAUUAGAGUGGCGGACGGGUGCGUAACGCGUGGGAAUCUACCUAGUAGUUGGGGACAACCUGGUGAAAACCAGGCUAAUACCGAAUACGCCCUACGGGGGAAAGAUGGCCUCUUCUUGAAAGCUAUCACUAUUAGAUGAGCCCGCGUCGGAUUAGCUAGUUGGUAAGGUAAUGGCUUACCAAGGCGACGAUCCGUAGCUGGUCUGAGAGGAUGAUCAGCCACACUGGGACUGAGACACGGCCCAGACUCCUACGGGAGGCAGCAGUGGGGAAUAUUGGACAAUGGGCGAAAGCCUGAUCCAGCAAUACCGCGUGUGUGAAGAAGGCCUCCGGGUUGUAAAGCACUUUCAAUUGUGAAGAGGGGGUAGUGAGUUAAUACCUCUCUAUCUUGACGUUAACUUUAGAAGAAGCACCGGCUAAUUCAGUGCCAGCAGCCGCGGUAAUACUGAAGGUGCAAGCGUUAAUCGGAAUUACUGGGCGUAAAGCGCGCGUAGGCGGUUUGGUCAGUCAGAUGUGAAAGCCCCGGGCUCAACCUGGGAACUGCAUUUGAUACUGCUAAACUAGAGUAUGUUAGAGGGAAGUGGAAUUUCUGGUGUAGCGGUGAAAUGCGUAGAUAUCAGAAGGAACACCAAUGGCGAAGGCAACUUCCUGGGACAAUACUGACGCUGAGGUGCGAAAGCGUGGGGAGCAAACGGGAUUAGAUACCCCGGUAGUCCACGCCGUAAACGAUGAGAACUAGUUGUCGGGAGGGUUUACCUUUCGGUGACGCAGCUAACGCAUUAAGUUCUCCGCCUGGGGAGUACGCCGGCAACGGUAAAACUCAAAGGAAUUGACGG